CUUUCAACGGCCGCGGUAUUCUAACCGUGCAAAGGUAGCGUAAUCACUUGUCUUCUAAAUAAAGACUAGUAUGAACGGCUAAAUGAGGAUAAACCUGUCUCAUAUGACCAAUCAGUGAAAUUGAUCUCUUAGUACAAAAGCUGAGAUAAAAACAUAAGACGAGAAGACCCCGUGGAGCUUAAAAUAUCUUACUAACUUAACACCUAGUCUACUAUUUUGAGUUGGGGCGACUUCGGAAUAAAACAAAACUUCCGAGCACAGAACCACACAUUCUAACCAAGGCCAACAAGCCAAACUAAACUGACCCGGCCCCGCCGACCAACGAACCAAGUUACCCCGGGGAUAACAGCGCUAUCUUCUUCAAGAGUCCCUAUCAACAAGAAGGUUUACGACCUCGAUGUUGGAUCAGGACACCCAAAUGGUGCAGCCGCUAUUAAAGGUUCGUUUGUUCAACGAUUAACAGUCCUACGUGAUCUGAGUUCAGACCGG
rnacentral:rRNA from 1 species